AUCAAGUUUGGACCCAGUCUCUGGUGAAGUGCUGCUGUGAAAGGGUGGCUUUGAUGAACGUCGUAAUUUACAGUUUUUUGGAGAAUACUUCUCUUCCUUUUCUUUGUCAAUUUUAUGCUUUAUUUUCUUUCGAUGCUUAAUUUUUGGUACAUUUUUAUCAGCUGGUCUCACUAUCUUGUCUGCCUUUAUCCAUUCAUCAUACCCUGAUUUGUCUUUUUCGUCAGCCUCUGCAUUUAUGGUAGGAUUUUCCAUUUCUUUAAUCUUUUCCUCUUCUUUAUCUUCUAAUUUGGUUUCAUCUUCAGCUUUGAUUACAUUCAAGUCCUUUUCUUGGUCAGGCUGCGUAUACACUGAAUCUGGCAAAUUUUUUUUGUUUCCCAGAAGAGCGGGCUUAUCAUUUUCUUUACUUUCAUUAUCAUUCUCAGCUAGCUUUUUUUCUUCUUGUUGUACUGCUGCUACUUCCUCCUGCUUGCGCUCCUCUUUAUCCACUUUUACUUCUUUUACGUCCUGCUCUGGAUCUUCACGCAUCUUUAAAUCUUUUUCUUUUUCACAGUCUUUACAAGGCUUGCUUGUCACCUUCUCUGGUAACGCCAUUUGAAACUCGAUAUUUGCUGAUGUACAGUACUCUUCAAAGCCAUAGAGAUAUUUUUUGUAUGCACAUUUAACAUUAUAUCCCGCAGCUGAAUUCAAUACAGGGAUUCCAAGAUCUUGAUAAACUUGCUUCCACACUGCUCCACUUUCAAUAUUAUCAAAUCCUCCAAGCUUAUGUACAAGUCUGAAUAAUUUGAACAGAUUCAAAUUUCUAUAUCCUAGUACAGGUCGUUUGUUAAUAGGAGUCCCUCUGUCUUCCAUGAACUUGUAUAAUUGCUGAAGAAAGUUCUCCCUUUCUUCAGGAAAAGGCUCUAUUUCCUCCUCUUCUUCACUGCUGUUAUCCUCUUUUUCUUUUUCAUCUUCC
rnacentral:lncRNA from 1 species